UUAAGAUGAGAGUUUGAUCCUGGCUCAGGACGAACGCUGGCGGCGUGCCUAAUACAUGCAAGUCGAACGCGUCUCCGUUAAUGAUUUUAGGUGCUUGCACUUGAAAGAUUUAACAUUGAGACGAGUGGCGAACUGGUGAGUAACACGUGGGUAACCUGCCCUUGAAGUAGGGGAUAACACUUGGAAACAGGUGCUAAUACCGUAUAACAACCAAAACCACCUGGUUUUGGUUUAAAAGACGGCUUCGGCUGUCACUUUAGGAUGGACCCGCGGCGUAUUAGCUUGUUGGUAAGGUAACGGCUUACCAAGGCGAUGAUACGUAGCCGACCUGAGAGGGUAAUCGGCCACAUUGGGACUGAGACACGGCCCAAACUCCUACGGGAGGCAGCAGUAGGGAAUCUUCCACAAUGGACGAAAGUCUGAUGGAGCAACGCCGCGUGAGUGAUGAAGGGUUUCGGCUCGUAAAACUCUGUUGUUGGAGAAGAACAGGUGUCAGAGUAACUGUUGACAUCUUGACGGUAUCCAACCAGAAAGCCACGGCUAACUACGUGCCAGCAGCCGCGGUAAUACGUAGGUGGCAAGCGUUGUCCGGAUUUAUUGGGCGUAAAGCGAGCGCAGGCGGUUUUUUAGGUCUGAUGUGAAAGCCUUCGGCUUAACCGGAGAAGUGCAUCGGAAACCGGGAGACUUGAGUGCAGAAGAGGACAGUGGAACUCCAUGUGUAGCGGUGAAAUGCGUAGAUAUAUGGAAGAACACCAGUGGCGAAGGCGGCUGUCUGGUCUGUAACUGACGCUGAGGCUCGAAAGCAUGGGUAGCGAACAGGAUUAGAUACCCUGGUAGUCCAUGCCGUAAACGAUGAGUGCUAAGUGUUGGAGGGUUUCCGCCCUUCAGUGCUGCAGCUAACGCAUUAAGCACUCCGCCUGGGGAGUACGACCGCAAGGUUGAAACUCAAAGGAAUUGACGGGGGCCCGCACAAGCGGUGGAGCAUGUGGUUUAAUUCGAUGCUACGCGAAGAACCUUACCAGGUCUUGACAUCUUCUGCCAAC
rnacentral:rRNA from 1 species